AGCCUUCUGGUGCUUACCACAGGCUGUGUUCUUACAUUGACUGUAUAGAAGGAGGAGACAAAGUAAACCUUACCCAUGUACACUUCAGCCCAGGCCCUGUGCUUAGUCUGUAUUGAGAAUGGGGAGACAUGG
rnacentral:snoRNA from 1 species